rnacentral:piRNA from 1 species
UAAAACCCUAAACUUUCCUACAUGCUCCC